rnacentral:lncRNA from 1 species
AGUUCCACAGCUGGAAGAGUGUGCACGGGCGUGGUAGUAUGGUAAAGGAGUGGUUCGGAUACGAUUCCUAGCGAGAGCGUGUAGACACAUGUGUAUUGCUCGCAGCUAGCCUUGAUGCGUUGAAGCUUGUACUCAAUUUGAGACCUAAAUUCGUUGUGGUUGUAUGGUGAAAAGGACUUGUUGAUAUUGGACAGUCGCUUGUGUGCAUUAUAUGGAUAGAUAUCAAGUACGCUUUGAUAGCAGGCAAAAGUUAUAUCGUUGAAGUAUCAUGUCAGAUACUGGCUGAUUCAGUAGAGAUUUAUGCCACCCCUAAGAACUUAUCGUGGAUAACUUCAUUUUCCUGGCCACUAUAAUAUCCCCAUAUACGUGUCAUGUAGUUGGUGAUGGACAGCCUGUGCCCAAGUCCAUCCUUUCGUUCCAUUGCUCUGAGAAAUUCCAAGCCAAGGUACUGCCAGUCAAGCCCCGUUUCCUGCUUAUCCGCGUGAACCUCAAAUACACACCUGGGAAUGAUUUCACUCCAGUAAGGCCUUGGUAGCUUCCAGCGAGCAGCCAAUACGAGAUUGCGAAACUCCCUUCCGUCGCAGUAGGCAAGAAUCAUCACGGCAGUGUCAAGCGGUAAUUUAGAGAAGGCGCCAGGGGAGAUGUAAAUCCACCUAGGGUCCGGACCCCUUUGUAUCCAUAGCUCGGGUCAUAGGUUAGCCUUUUUUUGCUUUUCUGGUGCCUUUCCAUCGAAGCUUGGAUUAUCUGGUAAUAGUUUGUGAUAAAGAGAGGAUCUUGUUGGACCAUUUUCUUGGCGCCGGAGUCCUCAGGUGGCUCACCAUAGAUGUGGUAAUCUUGGAAUUUGGUAUGAAAUUCCAUCAGGAGAGCCAGCAUAAAAGUAGGAAUAUCAUUUUUUAUUCCUUUCUCUCCAUAGCUCCUCAUCAACAAAUUAUAGCAGCACUCAUGCAUUGGCCAACCUACAUUCUGGGGGCUCGGGUCAUUCGUGUAAAUGGCGCAUCUUGCGAACCACGCAAUUUCACCUGGGGGGUGAAUAGCGCCUCUGAUGAGCCAGGCAUCACUAUCCCCAACUGGAGCGCCUAUAUAGUAACCGUUUCUUUUGCUAAAUCCAGAAUGCCGAUAAGACACGCCGGUAAUGAAAGGCGCUGGACGGUCAUGUAAUUUGACGACUAUUUGAAGGUAUUACACAUAUUAAAGAGGAUAACAGAAAUAUAAAUCACCAAUAAAGGGAAGGGAAGAAGGAAGUAUGGGGUGCAGACUCACCAGCUCUGUAUGUUGAUCUCCAAUCACACUGACCGGCUGCAAGGAAUUUAUGCAUUUGGAGAACGGUUAGCUUGAUAUAAUAUUGCACAGCUAGGAUGCUCUGGAUAGAUCCAAAGACUAUCCUUAAAGCCAUAAAAGUUACCAGCAGUGUCAGAGCGUACCAGAUAUUGGGAUCUUGCCAUUGCAAAGAUUGAAUAAAGGUAUGUGAGACUUUUCUGAUUAAUAUAUUUGCGCCGAGGUAUCUACCCAGGCAGGCAUGUAAAAAUUCACAGGAAAGCCAUUCACUUAUAUACUACGACUACCACUAAUCGGUUUAUGGAUAGCUUACUUCCUUUAUUCUGAAGCUUUGUAUAUUACUGGAUAACAAUGGCUCUCUUGCAAUUCCUUCUGGACAUAAAAGAUUGAAAAAAUCGUUUGUAUUCAAGAAGAAGGCAAAGCUUUACUCAAGAGUCUUUGUUCAAAAACAAGGCUGUCUCAUACUUGAAAAGGGAGGAUUCUUCUUUUCCAAAGUUGUGACAGAAAGACGAAAGAAACGAUCGAGUUAUGCUUGAAAAAUGACUAUUCUGGUUUUGUACACAAGAACACAGGCUUUUCAGCUGCUGGAGUAUUAUAGACAAGCAAUCUUUGACGCACGCUUUCGUCUGGGCUUUUCCGGGACUAUGUAUUCUAAUAAGUAUGACUAUUAGUCAUUUGGACUCCAACAUACGGGGGAUAUGAUCGAAUUAUUAAUAAUCAUGAAAGCAAACACACCUGCAUUGAAAGAUUCAGCUAUCGUGCCUGUCGACAAAUUCAAUAUACAACCGCUCUUCCUCUUUAGCGGUAACUGGCAUGCAAUAGAGCAUGGAACCAUGGCGGUCUAAAGGAUGUCUCAGCCCGAGAGCACACCAGGCCAUUAGCAGAGCUUAGUUUGACAAAUGAUUCCUAUAGAAUUUCUUGAUUACAGCCUAAGCCUCUGACCCGAUGUUCCUAGGAGCUAAGCCAAUGAGAUUUGUAUGGGAACUCAACGCAGUCUAGCUAUGCAUAUUCUGGUCCUUUGGUCAGAUUCUAGUUGCUUGUAGUCAUUCCUGUUUCCCUCUAG